rnacentral:rRNA from 1 species
GCAAGUCGAACGCGAAAGUCCCUUCGGGGGCGGUAGAGUGGCGCACGGGUGAGUAACGCGUGGAUAAUCUGCCCUUGGGUGGGGGAUAACGUUUAGAAAUGAACGCUAAUACCGCAUAAGACCACAGGCCUGCGGGCUGGUGGGAAAAGAUGGGGAGCCUUCGGGUCCUGUCGCCUUUGGAUGAGUCCGCGUACCAUUAGGUAGUUGGUGGGGUAAUGGCCCACCAAGCCGAAGAUGGUUAGCUGGUCUGAGAGGAUGAUC